rnacentral:rRNA from 1 species
CCUACGGGUGGCAGCAGUGGGGAAUAUUGCGCAAUGGGCGAAAGCCUGACGCAGCGACGCCGCGUGCGGGAUGAAGGUCUUCGGAUCGUAAACCUCUGUCAGCAGGGAAGAACGGUCACUGUGCUAAUCAGCAGUGAAUUGACGGUACCUGCAAAGGAAGCACCGGCUAACUCCGUCCCAGCAGCCGCGGUAAUACGGAGGGUGCGAGCGUUAAUCGGAAUGACUGGGCGUAAAGCGCUCGUAGGCGGUAUGUCCAGUCAAGGUUGAACUCCCCGCGCUCAACGUGGGAACUGCCUUUGAACCUGGCAAACUGGAGUGUGUGAGAGGAUAGUGGAAUUCCAGGUGUAGGAGUGAAAUCCGUAGAUAUCUGGAGGAACAUCAGUGGCGAAGGCGACUAUCUGGCACAUAACUGACGCUGAGGAGCGAAAGCGUGGGUAGCAAACAGGAUUAGAUACCCGAGUAGUC